rnacentral:lncRNA from 1 species
UUCCUUCCUUUCAUUUUCCUCUUUUUCUCUUCUUGUCCCCUUCUUCGGGAUAAAUUGGCUAAGAAUGCCUUUUUGGAGCUAAUUAUGUCAUUUCGAGGAUAAUUAGCUAAGUAUAGGUUAUUUUUUACUAAAUAGGCCAUUUUGGAGCUAACCAAGCUAAUUAUGUCAUUUCGUAGGAUAAUUAGCCAAUUUAGCCUUUCUUGGAUAAGUCUAAGCUAUGUAGAAGAAGAGAUAGAGAAGAAGAAGUAAAAUAAGGAGGAGGAGGAGGAGGAGGAGGAGGAGGAGAAGAAGAAGGAAGAGGAGAAGAAGAAGAAAAUAAGAAGGAGAAGGAGAAGA